GUCAGGCCCUUGCGGCAGCACCCCACUGGGCCCAGCUGCUGGGCAGGCCUGUUCUUCUGAGUCAUGCUCUCCCACUUAAACCCGCAGAUCGGCUCCUCUAACGGGGUUUGGUCCUGGGGGUCAUUUCUCCUAGGGCUGGAAUCCCUCCCGCUGGGUGCUGUCUGGGAGAGAGUAGCUGAUCCCAAGGGCUGGGACCGGCGUGGAGCUCCCUGCGUCUGCCUUGGAGAAGCUGAAGUGGCUUCAGGAUCUCUGACAGGGCCUCCCUCUGCCGAUGAGGCUAGGAAUGGCUGCCCACCAGGGGAGCUCCUCUCGUCCCCUGAUGGCGGUCCCUGCCUCACAGAGUUUCAGUGUGACGCACACGGCUUCAUCGUGGCCUGGGUACUUGGAAUUGUUCUCCAUCAGGCCACUUGUGAUCUGGCACAAGUGCAGAGUGCCCAUGGCAAAGACAUGCUGUGUGGGCACAUCAGAGACAUGCUGCGUAAAGGUCCCCACGUGCCCACGUGCCCAUGGGUGCCCUCUGGUCCGUGGCAGUGGUGGCCUGUGUGUGCACGUGAUGGCCCCUGGCUCUUCCUUCUGGAACGUUGCUGAGUUGCCUGGACCUACACUCACCCUCCCCCCGAAGCACUAGACAGAGGCAGAGGAGCAGCCUGCGUGAGGACGAGAGCCCAGAAGUUUC
rnacentral:lncRNA from 1 species